UUAGGUCAGUUAAUGCAAGUCCUAAUGCAUCAUUUGCGUUAUAAACGUAAAUAUUAAAAUCUCUGACAAUUACAAGCGUGUACGUCUGCAGACUACAAGACGGGGGUGUAACUUGAAGUGGGCGUAACUUGAAGUAGGAGGCGUAACUUGAAGUUGUCCAAAUCACACAGAACCACGCGAGACCUCAAAACGAUAAGUUAUUGGCAAUAUGGCGGCACAGAGUAGAGUAUUGAUUACGUUUUAAGGGAGGCAGGGGUUUUAGGCAGGAUUUGAUUCAUGAUGUGUGUGUAGAUAUUAAUGUUAGGGGACAAUGUGAGAGUGUACGUUUUAGUAGGAAAACGUAUUAUCUGACCCACACUCCGGAACAGAAGAGGGCGGUAAUGCACCAAUAAGCUGGAUGCCAACCGCCGUUAAACUGGAAAGAAGACGAAUAUGACAGCUUGCUGUGAGAGACAACGGGACAGAUGAGACACAUGUGUGUUUAUCUGCUGUAGAGUAACUGAUGAAGGAAUGCUACCAUCAAAGGAUUUGUAUCUUUUGUGGUGGAGCAGGACCUGCAAGGAAAGGUGAAAAAGAGGGAAAACCUGAAACAAAAGAAUAAUGUAAUGACUUUUUGUAUUGUGUAUUUUUGUAGGACAUGAACAUGUCUGUAGACUGGUGUGUGCACUGAGGAUGGAGAAGACCACAGCAUCAUCCUGGAAAUGAUCGAGAGUCACAGAUGAGAUGCUCCAUCACUCCAGCUCUUACCGUCUCAUCAGGACCAGAUGCUGCUGUGGUGUCUUCAUCCUCAGUGACCCCAGAGCCAGUGAGAGCAUCUAGAGAAAGACCACAAGACACUGAGCAUGUGAUUUUGGGGCCUACAAUCCCCUGAUCAACCUGGAGAAGAGAGCCUUGCUCAAGGACACACUGGUGUUCCUGUGGCCCAAGGGGUAGAGCAUUGCGUUAGCAGUGCAAGGUUGUGGGUUCGAAUACCAGGGAACACAUGUUAGGUAGUCGUGCUCAUGGGGUGCAGGCACACGAAAGUUUGGAGCAGACACAGCAGUCAGAUUGUCCUGCACGUGUUCCCCUGCUCUAGCUUCAAGGUUGUGUGGUUCAGAGAGCCGUCAUCAAGGUCUUCCUCAUCCUGUUGCUCAACGACAUCCCCAUUGAGAAGAGUGAGAUUGUGAAGUGCAGCGGCAGAACUGUAUCAGCUGUGUUCAGAUGGCAGGAGGAUGUUGGGUUCACCAUCUGUAAAUACUUGAUUGUUAGAACAAUAAGUUUGAAUGAAGCUUUGUAUCAUGUGUUGUUGACUUGUGCAUGUAUGCAUUUAUUGUGAUGCUAACUUUUAUACAUUAUUUUAAUCAUUUAGACAUAUUUUUGGUUGUCAGUAAAUAAAAUAUAAAUAUUUUAUCCAUUAA